ensembl:lncRNA
GCCCAUCUCCUCUAUGCAGGACCUCCUUGGACCCAAUUUGGAGACUUUAUCAUUGGGGAAAACUGGUAAAAAUGUGCAAGGUCGUCCACACCAAAGGAGUGAGCUCACACACACUGAAGAGUAGAGGAGGCAACAAAUGGCUUCUAAACGUGGGAUCGAACUCGGGACCUUGUGCUUGCGAGCCAGGCGCCGGAACCACUGAGCUAAAUCCUUGGCCCUGGUUUAUUAAUUUUUGAUUGCCUUUUUUCCACUGCUAUCUGGAGAUGGAGUAGAACCCUGACUUCCAAUCAAAUAGCAUACCAUUUUAAGAUUAUGUAUUAAAAAUCUGAUUGAUCAUUGUACUUCAAAGGUUUUUUAGCUCUAUGUCACAACAAUUGUAACAAAUGAAUGUCUUUAAAAACUCUGUUUUGUUACUUCUUGGGAAUAUAAGACUGAAUUUGGCAAGUAGGUGUUUUAUUGGUCUUAACUUGCUGAAUGGUAGGCUGUAAACCUUAAGUAUGUCCCAACAACUCAUAAAGAAAUAAAGGCCCCAGUUAAAAAAAAAACAAACUCUGAUGAUUGGGAUCUUAGACUACUAACCUCACUACAUUUCAUCUGGUAGUCUUUCUGAAAACAUAAUGUUCAAUUUUUAUCAUUUUUCUCUUCCUAACGAUGGUAAGAAAGUUAUUUAUUUAGCAGUGCUGGAGACUGUUAGACAAGCAUUCUGUUACUGAGCUUCACCUUUUGCCCAUAAAAGUGUUUUUUUUUUUAAAAAAAAAU